ensembl:rRNA 5S_rRNA 5S ribosomal RNA
GUCUAAGGCCAUACCACCCUGAACGCACCUGAUGUCCUGUGAUCUCGGAAGCUAAGCUGGGUCGGGCCUGGUUAGUAUCUGGAUUGGAGACCACCUGGGAAUACCGGUUGCUGUAGGCU